UUGCGGUGAACUCAGGGGUGCAGGUGACUCUUCGAGAUCCUGAUGCAAAGUAGUCACAGAGGGACAAACACUACGUGAUGCCACUGACACGGGGUUUCUAAACCAGUCCAACCUGCAGAAACGGUGACUGGGAUGGUGGCUGCCAGGGUGGGUGGGGAGUAAUGGGAGUGCUGUCCAUGGGGGAUGACGGUCCGGUCAUGCCCCGUCUAGAGACCUGCCACACAAUGCUGUGCCUGUGAUUAGCGUCACUGCACGUGCACGUAGAAGAGUUUGUCAGGACGGUAGAUCUCUGGUAAGGUUUCUCACUCCAUAACACAUGCACACGCCCAUCGCGGGCAGGUUCACAACCAGCUGAAUCCACCCCAAGCUCUCCUCCUGGCAGGAGGACCGAGCGCGUCCACCCUGAAAGCCUGGUGUCCUGAAGGCAGGAGGCGCUUGCAGCUGGUCUGAGGGAUGCUGCCCAGAGGCGCCGCAGUGGACGCAGGGGCAGCAGACAGGCUGGAUUUGGCCCUGGCACCUGCCUUUUGUCCUGGGCAGGACUCGUUUCCCCAGAACUUUAGGGACUAUUGCAGACUCUGCUGCUAAAGCCUGGGGUAUCCGGGGUGCAGAAGACCCUUCCAGGGCAGAGGAUCACUCUCCAAGGAACCAAGAGAUGCGCCCAGCCAUCCAGCGACAGCUUCCAGCGAGGACAGCUCCUCUCCUGGAGCCGGUGCCCUGGGAAGUCUCAGGGCUGGGACACGGCCGGGAGGCACAGCCCCACUUGGCCCCUUCGCUUCCGGACAGCUGUCACUGCUGGGUCGCGAGGAAGGUCAAGUGAUCUCUUGGCCAGGCUGUUGGGUGAGGACUCCAGCGUGUCGUGUGAACUCACUCCUGUGUGCAUGGGACUGUCCUCGGGACUCUGCGUCCCCGUGACUGGCCCUGCGGGACUGCUUCUGGGUGCUCAUUCCAGACCUCCUCACAUGCACCUGUGCUAACUCAGUGGCUGGGCACGAGGUUGUGGCAGUCCUCGGGGCUGGUUCACUUGUGAACACGGCAGCAAGCUUCUUGCACGUGCCUGUGUUGGAGUCGCAUGGGGGUGUGUUUGGUGCCUGCUUUUCCCUGCAGGGACCAGCCGCCCACGCUCUCAUGAGGAUGGUGAGCGUGAUGGUGAAGGAGUUCAAGAGAGAUACGCCAGCACCAAGCACUAGCCACCAUUGGGGAUCAUGAAAGCUGCUGUACUGCAGUGUUUGAUCUAAACUACAGAUUCAGAGGGUCAAUGCACCCCCAUGUUUAUAGCAGCGAUGCCCACAAUAGCCAAACUGUGGAAGCAGCCCAAGCUUCCCCGGACAGCUGAAUGCAUCAAGAAGACAUGGUGUACUUGCAGAGGAAUAUUACUCAGCUGCCGGAAAGGAUGAAAUCUUGCCAUUUGCAACCCUGUGGAUAGACCUAGAAGGUAUUAAGCUGAGUGACGUAAGUCAGAGAAAGACAGAUACCGUAUGAUUUCACUCACAUGUGGAAUUAAAGAAAUAAAACAGAUGAACAUUGGGGGGCGGGGAAAAAA
rnacentral:lncRNA from 12 species